GUUUAAGGUCACACAGCACUAAGAUCAGAACUAGAGCUUAGGUUUUUUUUUUCUGCUUCUGAAACCUAUGUUUUUCUUGGCACAUUAAGUCAUUAUAAUCUAUAGUUUCCUCAGACAGGAAGUGUAAAGAACACAGAAAAGCAAGAAUUAAAUUCUGGGGUGGCUCAGAAAUUUGGAGAAAAAGAAAAAGAGCAAGUAAAAUCACAAGCAAGUACAAAGAAUACUAAAAUGAACUCAGCAAACAAGGAAGAAGAAAGUUUUAAGGAAAAAGCUGAACAAACAUACAAGGUUCAAAGACAUUGCUGAUUCUCUAAAUUUGGUGUUAACAAUAAAACACAGUGUUUUGAC
rnacentral:lncRNA from 1 species